CCGGGUCGGCGGGAUUCGGGUCGGGGACCGGGACCGGGUCGGCGGGAUUCGGGUCGGGGACCGGGACCGGGUCGGCGGGAUUCGGGUCGGGGUUCGGUUCGGUGGCUGCGUCUGCGGGGUCCGGGUCGGCGGGUCCGGGCUGCGGGUCCGGGUUCCGGUUCGGGUCCAGGUCCCGGUUCGGGUCCGGUUUGGCGAGUCCGGAGCGCGGCUCCGAUCCCGGCUCCGAUCCCGGCUCGGCGGGUCCGGGCCGUGGGUCCGGGUGCAUGGGUCCGCGGGGCGGGUGCGGUUCCGGGAGCGGGUCCGUGAGCCCGGGGGCCGGCAGCGGGUCCGGCUCCGUGGAAGCGCGGGGCGGCUCCGGGCCGAGGCUGCGGGAGCGGAACCGGGCGCGGCCCGGGCAAAGGGCGAGCGGGGGGCGGGGCCAGGGCA
rnacentral:lncRNA from 1 species